GAUGAAGAACGUAGCGAAAUGCGAUAAGUAGUGUGAAUUGCAGAAUUCAGUGAAUCAUCGAAUCUUUGAACGCACAUUGCGCCCCAUGGUAUUCCGUGGGGCAUGCCUGUUCGAGCGUCAUUUACCCCCUCUAGCUCCGCUUGGUGUUGGGCGUCUGUCCCGCUUCGCGCGCGGACUCGCCCCAAAGGUAUUGGCAGCGGUCGUGCCAGCUUCUCGCGCAGCACAUUGCGCUUCUCGAGGCACCGGUGGGCCCGCGUCCAUCAAGCUCACCCCCCCAGUUUGACCUCGGAUCAGGUAGGGAUACCCGCUGAACUUAAGCAUAUCAAUAAGCGGAGGA
rnacentral:misc_RNA from 1 species